rnacentral:rRNA from 1 species
AACGAACGCUGGCGGCAUGCCUAACACAUGCAAGUCGAACGAGACCUUCGGGUCUAGUGGCGCACGGGUGCGUAACGCGUGGGAAUCUGCCCUUCGGUUGGGAAUAACUGAGAGAAAUUUCAGCUAAUACCUUAUAAUGUCUUCGGACCAAAGAUUUAUCGCCGAGGGAUGAGCCCGCGUAGGAUUAGGUAGUUGGUGGGGUAAUGGCCUACCAAGCCGACGAUCCUUAGCUGGUCUGAGAGGAUGAUCAGCCACACUGGGACUGAGACACGGCCCAGACUCCUACGGGAGGCAGCAGUGGGGAAUAUUGGACAAUGGGCGAAAGCCUGAUCCAGCAAUGCCGCGUGAGUGAUGAAGGACUUAGGGUUGUAAAGCUCUUUUAACCGGGAUGAUAAUGACAGUACCGGGAGAAUAAGCUCCGGCUAACUCCGUG